rnacentral:lncRNA from 1 species
UAAAGGAUAUGGUUAUAGUCGAAAAAAUUCUCCGCUCAUUGACACCAAAGUUUAAUUAUGUGGUUUGUUCAAAUUGAGGAGUCAAAAGAUGUUGAUAUUUUAUCCAUUGAUGAAUUGAACGUUCAUUACUAGUUCAUGAAAGGAAAUUGCUACUGCAAGACAAUGCGGAAUUAGCAUUGAAAGUCUCAUCAUAUCAUUUGAUCAAAGGAGAUAGAGGACGUGGAUCAAAUGGCAAUUACAACAGAGGCUGAGGUAGAGGCCGUAGCAAAGGUUGAGGAAACUAUGUUCAUUAACAUAAUCAACAUCAAGGAAAC